GAUGAACGCUGGCGGCGUGCUUAACACAUGCAAGUCGAACGGAAAGGCUCCUGCUUGCCGGGGUACUCGAGUGGCGAACGGGUGAGUAACACGUGGGUGAUCUGCCCUGCACUUCGGGAUAAGCCUGGGAAACUGGGGCUAAUACCGGAUAGGACCACAUUUUGGAUGGUGUGGUGGAAAGUUUUUCGGUGUGGGAUGGGCUCGCGGCCUAUCAGCUUGUUGGUGGGGUAAUGGCAUACCAAGGCGUCGACGGGUAGCCGGCCUGAGAGGGUGUACGGCCACAUUGGGACUGAGAUACGGCCCAGACUCCUACGGGAGGCAGCAGUGGGGAAUAUUGCACAAUGGGCGCAAGCCUGAUGCAGCGACGCCGCGUGGGGGAUGACGGCCUUCGGGUUGUAAACUCCUUUCGCUAGGGACGAAGCGCAAGUGACGGUACCUGGAGAAGAAGCACCGGCUAACUACGUG
rnacentral:rRNA from 1 species